CAAUAGCGUAUAUUAAAGUUGUUGCAGUUAAAAAGCUCGUAGUUGGAUUUCUGGUGGGAGCGACCGGUCCGUCCCGCAAGGGAUGUGCACUGGUGUCGCCUCCGGCCAUCCUUGGGGAGAGCGGUCCUGGCAUUAGGUUGUCGGGGUUGGGAUCCUCAUCGUUUACUGUGAAAAAAUUAGAGUGUUUAAAGCAGGCUUACGCCGUUGAAUACAUUAGCAUGGAAUAAUAAGAUAGGACUUUGGCGGUCUAUUUUGCUGGUUUGCACGCCAAGGUAAUGAUUAAUAGGGAUAGUUGGGGGUAUUCAUAUUCAAUUGUCAGAGGUGAAAUUCUUGGAUUUAUGGAAGAUGAACUACUGCGAAAGCAUUUACCAAGGAUGUUUUCAUUAAUCAAGAACGAAAGUUAGGGGAUCGAAGAUGAUUAGAUACCAU
rnacentral:rRNA from 1 species